AUUGAACGCUGGCGGCAGGCCUAACACAUGCAAGUCGAACGGUAACAGGAAGCAGCUUGCUGCUUCGCUGACGAGUGGCGGACGGGUGAGUAAUGUCUGGGAAACUGCCUGAUGGAGGGGGAUAACUACUGGAAACGGUAGCUAAUACCGCAUAAUGUCGCAAGACCAAAGAGGGGGACCUUCGGGCCUCUUGCCAUCGGAUGUGCCCAGAUGGGAUUAGCUAGUAGGUGGGGUAACGGCUGACCUAGGCGACGAUCCCUAGCUGGUCUGAGGGGAUGACCAGCCACACUGGAACUGAGACACGGUCCAGACUCCUACGGGAGGCAGCAGUGGGGAAUAUUGCACAAUGGGCGCAAGCCUGAUGCAGCCAUGCCGCGUGUAUGAAGAAGGCCUUCGGGUUGUAAAGUACUUUCAGCGGGGAGGAAGGCGAUAAGGUUAAUAACCUUGUCGAUUGACGUUACCCGCAGAAGAAGCACCGGCUAACUCCGUGCCAGCCGCCGCCGUAA
rnacentral:rRNA from 1 species